AGAAACAUACCUCAUUCAUUUCGUAUCGAUAUUUUUAGUUUUUACAAGUGUUAAAGCAAAAGUGCAAAACCCAAACACACUCUUCUCUCACUCUCACAGCAAACCCAUCACUUGAGACCCUAGCACAACCUUUAAAACACCGUCGAUUUUGAUAACCCAAACCUUUAGUUAUCAAAAUCGGCGAACCCUCACUGAGAACCAUACGGAGAACCCUCCAAAUGCGUGCUGCCACACUCAAAUUUCGGAACCUAAGCUAAGAGCACACCACUGAUUGAGCAUAUUAGAACCUGAUUGUUCGAUUGUUACAGGUAAUUAUUGUUUGAACCCUAGAAAAUAAGUUAAAAAUCCUAGAGUUGUAGUUCUCAAAUUCAUUCACUGUGAUGUAAAGGUUUUUUUUUUUUUUCAUUUUCAUUGGUUGAAUUUACUAAUUUGUUGAAAUUAGCGAACCUUAGAACUACAAAAUGACAUAUACUUUGUUCUUGGGUGUGGCAAAUCACAUGUUUAUAGUCGUAUGUUCAUUAUCUUCGAAUUAGGGAUAUAGUUAGUAUUUUUGUAUUCCCUUCAAGUGUUUGAUAAAAAGCCUGAAUCAAUUUUGCUCGGCUGAAAAAAAAUUGAAAGGGAGCUAUUUUAAGAUCAUUUUCCCUACCAUUUUUAGCGUACUUUGCAGUAGAUAGGCUGGGUUAUGGUCCUUUACAGGUCCAGAGUGAAAGGUUGCUUCAUGUGAAUGAAUGCCAUGUUUGCUUUGUGAUAGGAAGCACACACCACUCCCUCAAUUAGUCAAUUAUUGUCUUCAUGCAUUAACGUUCUAUAUCAUAGGUCAGCCAGAUCCAUUUUCGUACUAUAAUCUUUACUUCAAUAUUGCUCCCAUUCUCUCAUAUUCUUUGUUCCAUUAUGGUGAUUUCAUCUCUUAAUCUUUGUUACAACUCAAUACCCAUAUUGCAAAACUAUUAAAUCCAUGCUUUUAGACUAAUUUCACGAUCUAGGUUGCUCAGAUCUAACUCAAAUUCAUCACAGAAUGGGCAAUUUCAGAAUUUGGGUUUUGUUCAUUUUCUUCUUUUCUCAAUCUUCUUGUUUGGGAUUUUACUUGUGGGGUAACUACCCUCACAAACAUGUUGUCGGUGACCCUUUGUCCGUGAAGGUGAAUUCCAUCACUUCAAUAGACACUAAAAUGCCGCUUAGUUACUAUAGCUUGUCGUCUUGCAAGCCCUAGGAGGGUGUUAAAGAUAGUGCCGAGAAUCGCUGUGAGCUUUUGAUGGGUGAUAGAUUGAGAAUUCACCCUACAGGUUUAAGAUGUAUACCAAUGAGACUGAUAUCUUUUUUUGUAAAACAGAUCCAUUGUCGAAAGAUAAUUUUGAGUUGUUGAAUCGAAGGAUUGAUGAGAAGUAUCAGGUUUUUUUUUUCUUCAGAGUAAGAAGCUCAUAGAAUUAUUGUUUCAUAUUGUUUUUUCAUCAGUUAUGAACUAUUUUUAAUGUCAUAUUAAUCCAUGCUUUAGGUAUUACAAAUUUCAAAGGGUGGCACAACAUACUUCCUUGACAAUUUUGAGGGGUGACAACUCAGAUACACUACAUUGGCCUGAAAAGGGAAUCCACCCAGGUAAUUUAUAGGUUGAGAUCAAAUUUGUUGAAUUUAAAAAAAUUUCCAUCCGAUCAUCAGCUAGCUAUUAUUCGAUUGCUUAGUAUUCUAAUCUAUAUGUGUUGUCACGGACUUUGAAUUUGAUGAAAUUAUAUUUUACUUGUGCAGUUAGCUAGCUUGUUACACUUGCUAUGUUUAAAUUUGAUGAAGAUGGUGGGUAUUGCUGGAGUUUGCUAUCUUUUUUCUUCGAUGCAAAAAUAGUCAUGAGCAUUGAUGCAACUUUGCACGUUUAGCUUCUUCUUAGAUUGGAAUUUGUAGUGCGCUUCACCAAAACUACUAGGAUGAUUUUUUUUUGUUUGGUUGAUCAGUGUUGUUGGCUUCGUUGUGUUGCUGGAAAUUACUGAUCAUGGUUCAUUAAUCUCAAAACUGCUAGUCUUCUACAUGGUACUGAAAUUUGAUUUUUAUGUUGUUACAAUACCUUCUAUAUAUGUUGGACUUGUCACAUGUAUUUGGAUAAAUUAUGUUUGUUGACAAUUAUCAAUAAUUAUUCAGUGUUAUUCAUUUCAUUUUCUUUGUCAAUGAAUUUUUAAUUGCAAUAUUCA
rnacentral:lncRNA from 1 species